AAAGAAAAUAACAAUGAUUCCCCUAGUAACUGCGAGUGAAGAGGGACAAGCUCAAAUUUUAAAUCUGUCGGGUUUUACCUGAUCGAGUUGUAAUUUGAAGAAGCGUUUUCUGCGUAUUUGGUCAGCUCAAGUCCUAUUGAAUGAGGCAUCAUGGAGGGUGAUAACCCCGUCCGGUUGAUCAUUGCGUUUUAUGAUACGCUUUCUAAGAGUCAAGUUGUUUGGGAUUGCAGCUUAAAAUGGGAGGUAAAUUUCUCCUAAGGCUAAAUAACGGCGAGAGACCGAUAGCGAACAAGUACCGUGAGGGAAAGAUGAAAAGAACUUUGAAAAGAGAGUUAAACAGUACGUGAAAUUGUUGAAGGGGAAACGAUUGAAGCCGGUCGUAUCUAUGGGUAAUCAGCCUUUUGGGUGUGAU
rnacentral:rRNA from 1 species